GAUUCUAGAACUUGUUGCCAAAGAGACCCCUCAGAAAGUGGAUACAGCCUUUGAAUUCUUGGGUUUUAUCUGAAAAGUUCAUGUGCCAUAUAUACUCUUUAAAGAUAAAAUUCCUGCUCAUGGAAGAUCCAUGCUACAUCUAUGCUGUGGCUCCUCAGACUCUCAUGGUAUUCCUACCAAUUUAUGAAUCAGCAGGACCAAGGUCUCCUGUACUUCCAAAUUUCCGGCCUCUAAAAGUUUGGAUGCUUUAUUACAUUCUGAAACUAUAGUGUAUUCAGACUUGCAAAUGACGCUGAACCAAAAGAAGGAGGAAGAUGUCUCAUACUUCACUAUCAGAGGACGUGUUUGGUCUGAGUCUCAUCAGCCUCCAAGGCUCUCCCCCUCUCCUCCUUUGAAUGCAAACCAAUGGAACUUUUAACCAGCCCUGUGGCCAAAAGCAUUACCAGUUUGAUGGUUUAAAUGGAGUUGACUAAUUUGUUUGAAUCAGGAUUAUUGCCUUUUUCUGCUCUUUUAAAGAAAUCUGUGUGUAACCCAAAUUCAUAAAUCUGUUGUAUUUCUAAGUUCAUCUUCCAAGAGCUUGACUCUUUUACAUUUACGUCUCUGCCCACGCUGAACUUUUGUGAAUGCUGUGAGAUGCUGUCAAUGUUCAUUUCUUUCCAUAUGGAUAUCCAAUUGAUCCAGACCCUUUACUAAAGAUAUUAUCUUUUUCUCCGCUAUAUUUCAAUGAAACUUUAGUAAUAAACCAGGUGACUGUAUAUGUGUGUAUAUGUGUUUGGACUCCUCCUUCUGUUCUGCUAUUUUUCUAUCCUUAUGCCAAUACCACAAGUCUUAUAAUAGAUAAUAUCAUAUAUAAUUUGUAGUACAUAGAUUUAUAGUAAUUCUUCAUAUCUGAAGUUUUCUUUUCCUUUCUUCAAUAUUAUGUUUCUGAUUCUAGGUCCCUUGUUUUUCUAAAAACACUUGAUAAUCAGCUUGUCAGUUCUAUAAAAGAGCCUACUGGGUUUGUUACCAAGAUUGCAUUAAACCUAUGGAUCAAUUUGGGAAGAACUUAUACCUUAGCAGUAUUCUGACUUUCAGCCAUUUGAUCGUGGUGUAUUCUCUACAUUUAUUUAUAUUUUCUUGACUUUCUCUCAGUAAUGUUUUGUAGUUUCCCACACAGAGGUCU